AUCCAUGCUCAAGGCCACUUGAAGCUGCUCCAGAAAUUCAGGCUUGGACAGCACAACCUUAGAGCACCCGUUCCCUGGAUUGGAGCCAAACAGUCUGGACAUCUCACAAGAGACCUGCAGAGAUGUAAGGACACACUCACCUCCUGUGUUGGGGAAGGAGUGACUCAGCUGGCUGGAACACAGUGGCCAAGAGGGUCAGAUAAUCUUGCUUUAUUUCCUAACCCGGACCGGCCUUUGUUCCAGGACAGGGAUCCUGGUCAUAGAUCCAAAAACAAUAAUCACAAAUCCAUCCCACAUCCAGGAAAGGGACCAGAUGCAUAUUCUGCUGAUAGUGGCCAAGAACGUGGCUGGUCUGUGUGUCUAACGGGCAGUGCAUGGUGACUGCACUGCAUCAACCUUAAUGGGAUCUUCUGGAAGAAAUGUCGGUGUGGGGAAUUGUAGAAGAUUGGUCUUUGUUUCCUUCUCUGAUCAAUAGUCUCCUCCAACCCCACUCCCAGCACAUACACAUGAAAGAAAAUAAAGAAAAAGAAAAAACA
rnacentral:lncRNA from 10 species